UUUAGCUGCACACACAAACAUUAAUAAGCAGCAGCUGUGAGAGCUGGGAGAGGAGUUCAGGAGAUGCUCAUCACACCAGGCACUUGCUAAUUGCUGGUCAAGGACGAACACGUCGCUUAUCACAGCUGCUGUUAAGCUGGCCUUGCAGGGUGAGGUGUUUUGCUCUGCUCCAGGCUGCAGUGUGGAGAUGGAGCAGUUUGUCUCUGCAUGAGUGCCUGGAAAGAGAGGAAAUGUGGCUCAGCUGUGGCUGCCUCCAAGAAAAAAUGCACCUGUCUGGAGGAGGGAACUGAGGGUCUGUCUUUGUGUGCACAGAGAGGUCAGCGUGGUGCCCUGUGCUCCUGCAGCUACAGGCAGCGAUUGGUGCUCUCCUCACCCCAGGAAAUGGCACGGGAUGCAAUUGGGCAAGAUAAUGAUGGGACGAUGGUUUGGUGAGGACAAGAGAAACCCUUUGGGCAUCACAUCUGGCACCCAGCAUCAACCUGAUUUUGUAGCGCACAACCCGAAAAUGAAGAACAAAGGAAAACCCCAGAGUGGCACCACUGCCUGAGAGAGCACAACUCCAGGUUUGGACGUGGACAGUCCUCCUGAUUCGAGCUUGGCAUCCCAGAUAAUGGGCCAUGGAUGGAAAAAAAAAGCAAAAAAGAACAUGGGGGCAUACAGUUCUGCUUCCCUUA